rnacentral:rRNA from 1 species
GAGUUUGAUCCUGGCUCAGGAUGAACGCUAGCGGCAGGCUUAACACAUGCAAGUCGAGGGGUAUAGUUCUUCGGAACUAGAGACCGGCGCACGGGUGCGUAACGCGUAUGCAAUCUACCUUUCACAGAGGGAUAGCCCAGAGAAAUUUGGAUUAAUACCUCAUAGUAUAAUUGAAUGGCAUCAUUUAAUUAUUAAAGUCACAACGGUGAAAGAUGAGCAUGCGUCCCAUUAGCUAGUUGGUAAGGUAACGGCUUACCAAGGCGACGAUGGGUAGGGGUCCUGAGAGGGAGAUCCCCCACACUGGUACUGAGACACGGACCAGACUCCUACGGGAGGCAGCAGUGAGGAAUAUUGGUCAAUGGGCGCAAGCCUGAACCAGCCAUGCCGCGUGCAGGAUGACGGUCCUAUGGAUUGUAAACUGCUUUUGUACAGGAAGAAACGCUGGUUCGUGAACCAACUUGACGGUACUGUAAGAAUAAUGAUCGGCUAACU